GUGUCUCCUGCCUUCACCCUCAGUCAGCUGGGAUAAACUCUAGCCCCCCAUGACCCUAAUGAGGAUGUGUAAAUAAUGGAUCGAUGGAAGUGCCAUUAUUUUGUAAUAACUAUGCUGAUAUUUUUGUAUGUUUGCUCUUCCUAAAAUCUAACCAUGAUCCAAAAUCCAAAACUCUAAAUCAGGGUUUUUUCAGGACAAACUGUCAUUUAAGCGGCACAGACACAUUCUAAAAAACUCCUUUCAGUGAAACCCAGAUUUUUUUAAAAAACUUGUGAACAUUUCUAUAUAGUGUUUUGUAAAUUCAAGAAGAUGUAUCAUGAGUGAAAUACACUACUGUGACAAAGUUCAGACAAUUUCAUGUUUUCCAUGAAAACUCACACUUUUAUUCAUGUGCUAAAAUAAUUGCUCAAGGGUUUUCUAAUCAUCAAUGAGCCUUUCAACACCAUUAGCUAACACAAUGUAGCAUUAGAACACAGGAGUGAUGGUUGCUGGAAAUGUUCCUCUGUACCUCUAUGGAGAUAUUCCAUUAAAAAUUUCCAGCUAGAAUAGUCAUUUACACAUUAACAAUGUCUAGGCUGGAUUUCUGAUUUAUUUGAUGUUGUCUUCAUUGAAAGAAACUGCUUUUCUUUCAAAAAUAAGGACAUUUCUAAGUGAGCCCAAACUUUUGAACGGUACUGUAAUCAUUCAGUGCCUGUGGUGUCUGACACCAUGAGUUGGCAGCAGAUCUUUGGAAUUUGCAAGACAGGCCAACACUUUUGGCUCUGUGUCGUGUUCCUUAAGAGCAGUGGGCAGUACUUAACAACUCAUCAUCUCCAUGAGUGACUGAUCAAUAGAAAAGUCAAAUGGAGACAUCCAUCCAUCCAUUAUCACUACUUAAUCCUCAUUAGGGUCAUGGGGGGCUGGAGUCUAUCCCAGCUGAUUGAGGGUGAAGGUAGGAGACACCUGGACAGGUCACCAGUCUAUCACAGGGCUACACAUAGAGACAAACAAUCACACUCACAUUCACACCUAUGGACAAUUUAGAGUUACCAAUUAACCUCAGCAUGUUUUUGGACUGUGGGAGGAAGCCAACGUGCACAGGGAGAACAUGCAAACUCCAUGCAGAAAGAUCCCGGAAAGGCUGGGAUGCGAACCGAGGAUCUUCUAGCUGCAGUAUUAACCACUGAGCCACUGUGCAGCCUUCAAAUAGAGACACUGUAGAUGUUUUUAGUCGGGCUUUGACUUCAAUGCGUUGAUUUCGAUGAAUUAAUUACAGAAGAAAAUAACGCAUUUAAUGGCACCUUUCUCUGUUCCCUCAUUUCUGGCACACCGGUAAAACUGAUGCACACUCCAGGCCAGUAGGUGGCGAUAAUGAACCUAAAGUCUGUUUUCCAGCGUGAAGAAGAUACACAGGACGCAUUGGGUGACGUCAGCACACGAGAUAGUUUGGUGAUGGAAGACAAGACCGCAUUGAGCUUGUUGGGAGGAAACAAUCUUCCUGAUGGCAGCUUGGAUAAAAGCCUGGUUGUGUGCAAAUUGUGCAACAAAGAGUUGUCUGAUCACCGCAGCUAAUGGUAUCACCCCAAUGUAAAACACGUUGCUGUUAGCACCAGAGCUAACGUUAGCUACGACCAUCCUGGUACCAGCUAAUGGUGUAGCCAUCCCAUAAUAGAUCACUUUUCAAUACACUGAAAGUUCUUGAGUUUACAAAAAGUCUUAAAAUGUUGAACAUAAUUUCUAUAAUUGUACUUUGAGUUUGCAGUAAUCUGUGAAUGUAGCAGACAGAUGAAAAAUGCAGAUAAAUAGAAAUGAAACGUAAACAGUUUUGUUGUUUAAGUUCAUGUAAAUGUCUAAUCAUCCAUUCAGUCGUCAACCAAAUUUUACUACGUCUCACUACUAAUUUUAGGAAGAUUUCAGAUCAGCCAUAGUUCAGGCGGAGGCUGAACUGCAGGUCACACUCCCAGUUUGCAGCAGAAAGCCAGAGCAAUAUUUGAUGUGAAAAAGUUAAAAGCCAUAAUUACAGUUAUUAAAGCGAGUAGUAGGUAGCCAUGGCAAUGAGAGCCUUUGGCUUUUUCACUUGGCAGUUUCUUUGCUUUUAUCUUACCAUGAGUCCAAUUAGCACCUUCCUUAGCAGGAGAUAUUUUCAGAAAGGCUUAGUGGAUCCUAAUGAAAGCAUAUGUUGUGUUUUCUGUCGUUCCUAAGUGACGAGGACACGUCACAGAGGGAAGUGUUGAAAUCACCAGUUUUAAGCAAAGCGCUGCUUAUGACAGGUUCAGUUUAUGAAGACGGUUCAUGUCAGAUGUUUUUUUUUCUCUAACAUUAAUAAUCCCCUUAAUGUUUAAUAUUCCAUGAUUUAAGAAACACGUAACAUGUAAUAAUUACUACGUUAAUGGCCUAACAUUAAAAUAAAUCUUUUGAAAAUGUAUUAACUGCAGUCAAAAAUACAAUAAUACAUAAAUAAGACUGUAUUUCUUCUCUUAUAUAUCAGAUAGCCUAGAACUAGACAGAAGAUGACUGUUCCUUUAGUAUUAUGAAGCUCUACAAGGCUGCUGGAUGCAAAACAGAGUCGAAACUUUCACAUAAAACAGUUAUUUGUUGAGGACAGCCGAUGGAUAAAAGACUGGAUUCUUCUCAGUAAUGUACAAAGUUAAAGACAUUUACUGGAAGAAAUGUCAAUUUUAUAUUGAUAUUUUCCCCUUAGUUCAUUAUGUACAUAAUAUUUUUCAGUGUUUUGGAGUUAAGUGCCAUUAUAGUGCCAGUCCAGUUAUUUAAAUACAGUAUAAAGUGAGGACUGAAUCAUUAUUCCUUGAGAAAUGUUUUUUAAAAAAUCCAGCAAAUUCAUUUGACAGUGCAACAUCCAACAGAGAUGCUGUAUGUUUACAUAUCUAGGCAAAUAGACAGUAUUCUAAAUAAAGAUUCUGUUCAACCACGCUUCAUUUUUCUGACAGCAAUGCUUCAGGCACAUUUCUGAAAGACUAAAUAAAACUAGAUGAGAAGAACUAUAAAAUUAGCCUCUCCUACUGUGUCUGUAAUCUGUGACACUGGGUGCUGAUAUUGUUCUAAUUAUUAUAGUAAAGCCCUGACACCAAACAAAGCUGUGUGGAAACCAGUUAAUGUUCCUCAACAUCCCUGAGUGUGAAGGCUGUGGUUGGACCAUUGUGUAUCACUGUGAAUACAAGCUGUGAGGGCCUAAAUUACUGUAAAAUUGCCAUUUAAAGUACAAUCAGUGUGCAGGGAAACAAAUUCCAUUGUCGCUGAAUGUUUAACACAUGUUGUGAGAGCCCAGUUAUAUUUAAAAUAUUUCUUCAUUAAAAAAAAAAAAAACAUUAAAACAUACAAUCCAGAUAAUAUCACGUUUCUUUCUAAAGAAACAUCAUCCUGCUGCAAAUUGGUGGUAUAUAUGUCAUUUUUAGGAGACGGUAUGCAGAAACAUGCAGCCUCUUACCCUAGAAAUGUAUUUAAAAGCUCAUAAGGGUCAUUCCAGAAUUUGGAGGACAUUUUGGCUUCAAAUUUAAAAAAAAAUAAACCUUCUCUUUUACAGUUUUCUGCUCCAUAUUCAUCAAUAAUAAGUAAUAAACUAUCAAAGGCUUGAUUGGCUCAGCUUACACAUCAAUGGUACCAUUUUUAUUCCUUGUUUUAUUUGUUGUUUGCUAACCCUACUCUAAUCACAGAAACAGGGUUGCUAAUCCAUGCUAAUGUUAGCUUUUUCUCAGCAGUAGAAGCUAGAUAUUUAGCUAGAUGUUACUGCUGACCAAGAGGACAAACUGACUGAUGGAAAACAGUCAGAAGAAUUAAUCUGAUCCUGAUAAUAUGAGGUAGAGUGAAACAUUCAAUCAAGGCUGAGAAUGUUAUGAAAAUAUGAAAAAUAAAAGAGAAGACAUAGUUUGGCUCUACCCAUUCUUUUGGAAAACUGUUUGAUGAUGUUGAUGACAAAAACAAGACAUAAAACGACAAAAACAAGACAUAAAACAAUAAAAACAAGGCAUAAAAUGACAAAAACAAGACACAACAAUAAAAAUGAGUCACAAAACAACAAAAACGACAUAAAAAUGACAAAAACGACACAAAAUGACAAAAACAAGACAAAAAAUGACAAAAAUAAGACAAAACGACAAAUGCAAGACAUAAAAUAAAAUGAGACACAAAAAUGACAUAAAAAUGGCAAAAACAAGACAAAAAAGGCCAAAAAAGACAUAAAAUGAGAAAAACAAGAAAGAAAGUGACAAAAACAAGACACAAAACAACAAAAACAAGACAAAAUGACAAAAACAAGACAUAAAACGACAAAAACAAGAAAUAAAAUGACAAAAACGACACAAAAUGACAAAAACAAGAAAUAAAAUGGCAAUAACAAGACAUAAAACAACAAAAGAAGACACAAAAUGACAAAAACAAGACAUAAAAUAACAAAAAUAAGACACAAAACGACAAAUAUGAGACAUAAAAUGACAAAAAUACACAAAAUGACAUAUACAAGUAACAAAACAAAAAAAACAAGACACAAAACAACAAAAAUGACAUAAAAAUGACAUAAACAAGACAUAAAUUGACAAAAACAAGACAUAAAAUAACAAAAACAAGACACAAAAUGACAAAAAGAAGACACAAAACGACAAAAACGAGACAGAAAAUGACAAAAACGAGACAGAAACAGAAUACACGGAACAACCUGAAUGUUACUUUGAAGUGUAUUGACACCUUGAGUCCACACUAUUUUUCAUUGACUUUCUUUAGUCACUAACUGUCUGGGCAGGUCCUGUAAGAGCGGCUUCAUCUCAGCGCCGACAAACAGAACUGUUCAUGAAAAGAGAUGAAAAAGUUCGCUGGAGCUGCAGGGUUGCUGGUGCUUCUCUUGUGGUUUCCAGUGACCCCCUUUAUGGAAUCGGCUCACAUCAAACAUCCUGGUUAGCAGGGCUCUGGAGUCGUUCUACAAAAUAAAAAGAUCUGUAUUUUAAAGAUCACAACCAUUUAAACCUCCAUCUUGUGGAGUUUGAAAAGCCUUCAAGGUCCAAGUUUAUGUUAAUUAACCCGUCAAGGAUUUACGGAGCCCCUAUGGUGGCAUGGUAAAAAAAAUAAUAAAUCAUGGCCACAAUAUAGCUAUAGCGUGCUCACGAAAUACUAAUUCGUUCACACGAAAUACUAAUUCGUUCGCACGAAAUACUAAUUUGUGACCACGAAGUAGGUAUAAUGUGCGAACGAAAUACUACCUAAUACUAUUAAUAUCAUUCCUGGACAGCUGAGUAAGCAAAUCGAGCGCACCUUCUCUAGGGUCUAAGGUGGAGGCAUUAGAGGAGCAAAAGCGACACGAUGGACAGGGACAGUGUGAUAGAAUUUUAUCUUAGGCUGGGAAUGAGCGACAAAGACAUUCUGAAAAGCCUGGCAUUGCAAGGGACCAUCAUUACUGAGAGACAUUUAAACAGGAUAUUGAGAGUAGGGUUGCCUCCCGUCCCUUAAAAUACGGAAACGUCCUUUAUUUGACAAUUAAUCGUUGCGUCCCGUAUUGAAUCAAUACGGGACGCAAGUUGUUCCGUAUUUUCAUAACUGCCCCAUACACGUCUGUCACACACUCAUCAAAACUGCAUAAUGAAUGAAAUAAAACACAGGCAAUAUUAAGGGCAGCCAAUUUCAUCUUCGUAGGACCCAUGUAGCGAGGACCCGAUGCCAGGUCCAGUGGACAGACUUCAGACGUCUCUGUGUGUCCGGUCCUGUCCGGUCCUGUCUCUGGUUGCCAGGUUACAGACGCUGCUGCACCCGCACGUUUAAAAAUGUCUACACCUGAAACUCCACCACGUCUAAAGAAGCAAAAACGUUUGCAAAUGUACAGACUGGAGUGGGAAGAGUGGAACCCCUGGCAAUGGGUACAAGACAAACUGUGUUUUCUGUUGCUCAUGGACUGGCUGAAGUAAGGCAGCAUCAGGAGACAAACAUGGAGGAAAUAUGAGAACAGAGAGAACCCAACCAGCAGGUCACAGUUUAUCAUCAUCUAAUCAUCUCCUGAAGUCCAUAUGGUCCCUCUCUAUCUCCCCACACAUCCACCAACCACUGGAACACAUCUCCAAAGUUCUGCCGGGCCAGCUCAGCUUCCCCUCAGAAGAAGUGGCGCCACCUGCCAGAUGAAGGAGCCUUUUGAGAGGCAGCUGGCAUCGUGAUUGGACUGUACUUUGGUCUGUUCCAAUCCAGCUUCAGCUCCAGAGACGGCAGGCGGGACGAGUCAACGGAGGCCGGGUGGACGAAGGCUUGCAGCUGAGUACAAUACAGAAAACAACAGAGGAGGAGUGCAGUGGCUCAGGGCCAGAACAAACACAGUAGCAUCGUAUGUCUCUGAGCAAACAUCAUAGUAUAGCCUUUGGUAUGAAAAAAAUGCCAUCAUAUACAUCGUAUAUUGUACAAAUAACAAGUCAAAGGAAAGAGACAUACAUUGUAGAAUUGUAGUAAUUGUGGGCUGACUGAUUUACUGAUAAUCAGUAUUUUAUUUUUUACUGAUUGAUGGUAAUAAAUCAAUUUAAAAAUGGCGCUA